AGCUAGUGUGGUACAGUGGUUAGAAUGCUGGUCUAGGACCUGGGAGACCAGGGUUCAAAUCCCUGUGCAGCCA